rnacentral:lncRNA from 1 species
ACAUACAUGUAUAGCAUUUCAUCCUCACUGAAUAACUGUCUUGUUAUCUACCUAUCUUUCUCGUUUUUUCAGGUCAGUCAAACAAGUAAAUGAAUAUGUGUAUGAUUUGGUGUUUUUGAGAUUAUCGUGAUUCUUUUUUUCAGACUUUUUGAUGUAAUUUAUUUCAGAUAGUGAAUUUUAAAUGUGUUUUCUUCCGUUUUCUUAAGAGGAUAAAACGGGUGUUAUAAGAGUGUGGAAUC